AGUCACUGUCACGCGGCGCAAAGAG
rnacentral:miRNA from 8 species